CAUCUGACCCGAGGAAGAUUAUAUUCUCAGCUAAGAUGGGUUUGGCUCUGACACUCGUCUCCAUUCUCGUCUUCUUUAAGCUCCCAGGAUCAGAGCUCAGCAACCACUAUCUCUGGGCAAUUCUGACAAUAGUUGUUGUCUUCGAGUUCAGCAUAGGUAAAUGCAACAGAGUUAACAACAUUCUAACAAAUUCAAUACCUGAUGUGAAACCAUCUCUUCUUUGUGUAGGAGCCACAUUUAGCAAAGGCUGUAACCGGGGACUAGGAACGUUAUCCGCAGGAGCGUUGGCGCUUGGCAUGGCUGAGAUAUCCGCAUUGAC
rnacentral:lncRNA from 1 species